AGACUCGGUGAGUCGAAGCAGAAACUCAGUCGCUUCAGCUGUAACUUGUUAGCUGGGUUAGCUAGCAGGAGCUGGAGCUGCAGGCUGGAGAGGAUGGCGUCCUCGGAUCAGUCCGAGCAGCACAGUAAGAGUGGAUCUCCAGUCCGAGACGAUGCUCCACCACGAGAAGCACUGGUAAGACGAUACUCGUGCUCUGAAUAUCACCUCUAUCCUUCCUCACUAAACUCCUCUAAAAACACAGAGUCUAAACAUGUGCUCUCAACAUGCUUACUCAGAUUAUGAUAGACCAUCUUGUGCGCUUACACACUGUUGUUUACACCUGGUCACUUCUUCAUGUUUUAAACACAUGCAUUUUUUACACUUUUUGACCCAAUGUGUCUCCAGUUAGUCAGCCCGAAAUCUGAUUUCUGUGCAGGAU
rnacentral:lncRNA from 1 species